rnacentral:rRNA from 1 species
CCUACGGGUGGCAGCAGUGAGGAAUAUUGGUCAAUGGGCGCGAGCCUGAACCAGCCAAGUAGCGUGAAGGAUGACUGCCCUACGGGUUGUAAACUUCUUUUAUAAAGGAAUAAAGUGAGGCACGUGUGCCUUUUUGUAUGUACUUUAUGAAUAAGGAUCGGCUAACUCCGUGCCAGCAGCCGCGGGAAUACGGGGGGUCCGAGCGUUAUCCGGAUUUAUUGGGUUGAAAGGGAGCGUAGAUGGGUUGUUAAGUCAGUUGUGAAAGUUUGCGGCUCAACCGUAAAAUUGCAAUUGAUACUGGAAGUCUUGAGUACAGUUGAGGUAGGCGGAAUUCGUGGUGUAGCGGUGAAAUGCGUAGAUAUCACGAAGAACUCCGAUUGCGAAGGCAGCUUACUAAACUGCCACUGACAUUGAUGCUCGAAAGUGUGGGUAUCAAACAGGAUUAGAUACCCGUGUAGUC